UAUCGGUCAUCACCAUGGGAAGGACAUGCUUGAGUUCUUUCUGGGAUAAAGAAGGAAGUUGAGAGAUAUCUGGAAUGCAGCUCUGCUGCCUAGUCUCCUUGUCUCCCAGCCAAGCCUAUGCUACAGUGAAGCCCCGCUCUGAACUAAGGAACAAACUUCCCGGUGGCUGAACUUUUCCUUCAGGAUCUUAUCUUCCUUCUUCAUGAUCAAAGUAUGAAUGGGGAUUUUUAGCCACAGGAUCUGAGGUUGUUAGGUGAUAUCUCAAAUAAACGUGGAGCUCAGGAAUGGAAAGAUUGUGGAGAGAUCAAAACCAGAGUUGGCAUUUAUUUUGCUUCAGCCUUCGGGCUCCUUGAGAUGCCAGGCUCAGGAGCACAGCACUGUGAUCGUCUGAGCUGAGCCGCACUGCAGGUGUGCUUUUGUCUGCACAGGAAGAUCCAGGGCAGUCCACAGCCAGAGCUGAGCUGGGUACAGAGGUCUGCUAUCCGGAAGCCGUGUGGCACUGUGAGCUUUUUAGGCAGGGAGAAAACUGGCUUUUGAUGGCCCCUGGAGCCUAGGCAAUCUGGCCUCUCCCUUUCAGCGGAAUCCCCCCAGUCUGCUGUCUAACUACUGGCAGUCUACAGGGACAGGACGGCCCUACCCUCCUUCCGCUCUGCGAAUUUGGAGAUGAAGCCACCACGGAGUGUUCUGAGGCUGAAGCUCCUCUCUCCUAAAUAAAAUGAGGAC